rnacentral:rRNA from 11 species
CAGGAUGCAUUAAAUACCCUUAAAGCACCAGGUCUUAUUUGUCCUUGGAAGCGAAGCAGGGUCAUCUCUGGUUAGUACUUGGAUGGGAGACCGCCAAGUUUUAAUUACCAGAGCUAUAUUUUAA